rnacentral:lncRNA from 1 species
AUCUAAUUAAAGAUUAGGAACUAACUCAUUCACUAAUUUUCAUUUCCACAUAAUGAAUUACAUGUUACAAAACUGCUCAAGAAUGAAAGACGAAUAAAACUGUACAUAAGAAUCAACUGAGGAAAAAACAUAAAAAAUUACGGACUCUAAGCAAUCACCUAUUCCCCGUUCCAAUACGAAGAGGAGUUGAUACUAACUGCUCGAACACUUUGUGAGGAAAAAACAUUAAGAAAUCAGGGACUCCAAGCUAUCACCUAUUCCCCAUUCCAGUAGGAAGAGGAGUUGAUACUAACAGGUCAAACACUUUUCUCUAAGGAAUCAGUAUCCUACACAGCAGCAUUCUAAUGCUGCUCUCCUGAUGCCUGCAAAAUUUCAUCUAUCCCACAUGGCCUGAAAGAUUGCAGGUCUAUGCUUCAGCCAAUGUACCAU